UACGUAGGGGGGCAAGCGUUGUCCGGAUUUAUUGGGCGUAAAGAGCGUGUAGGCGGCUUGGUAGGUCCGCUGUGAAAACUCGAGGCUCAACCUCGAGAUGUCGGCGGAAACCACUUGGCUAGAGUCCGGAAGAGGAGAGUGGAAUUCCUGGUGUAGCGGUGAAAUGCGCAGAUAUCAGGAAGAACACCUAUGGCGAAGGCAGCUCUCUGGGACGGUACUGACGCUGAGACGCGAAAGCUAGGGGAGCGAACAGG
rnacentral:rRNA from 1 species